rnacentral:tRNA from 3 species
GCCGAGGUGGCGCAACCUGGUUCACGGAGUCUGCUCAUAAAAGGAUGUCUGGGUUCGAAUCCCAGCCUCGGCG